rnacentral:rRNA from 1 species
UCGAGUGGCGAACGGGUGAGUAACACGUGGGUGAUCUGCCCUGCACUUUGGGAUAAGCCUCGGAAACAGGGUCUAAUACCGAAUACACCCUGCGUCGCGCGACAUGGCCUGAUAGGGGAAAGCUUUUGCGGUGUGGGAUGGGCCCGCGGCCUAUCAGCUUGUUGGUGGGGUGAUGGCCUACCAAGGCGACGACGGGUAGCCGGCCUGAGAGGGUGACCGGCCACACUGGGACUGAGAUACGGCCCAGACUCCUACGGGAGGCAGCAGUGGGGAAUAUUGCACAAUGGGCGCAAGCCUGAUGCAGCGACGCCGCGUGAGGGAUGACGGCCUUCGGGUUGUAAACCUCUUUCAGCACAGACGAAGCGCAAGUGACGGUAUGUGCAGAAGAAGGACCGGCCAACUACGUGCCAGCAGCCGCGGUAAUACGUAGGGUCCGAGCGUUGUCCGGAAUUACUGGGCGUAAAGAGCUCGUAGGUGGUUUGUCGCGUUGUUCGUGAAAACUCACAGCUUAACUGUGGGCGUGCGGGCGAUACGGGCAGACUAGAGUACUGCAGGGGAGACUGGAAUUCCUGGUGUAGCGGUGGAAUGCGCAGAUAUCAGGAGGAACACCGGUGGCGAAGGCGGGUCUCUGGGCAGUAACUGACGCUGAGGAGCGAAAGCGUGGGGAGCGAACAGGAUUAGAUACCCUGGUAGUCCACGCCGUAAACGGUGGGUACUAGGUGUGGGUUUCCUUCCUUGGGAUCCGUGCCGUAGCUAACGCAUUAAGUACCCCGCCUGGGGAGUACGGCCGCAAGGCUAAAACUCAAAGGAAUUGACGGGGGCCCGCACAAGCGGCGGAGCAUGUGGAUUAAUUCGAUGCAACGCGAAGAACCUUACCUGGGUUUGACAUGCACAGGACGCCGGCAGAGAUGUCGGUUCCCUUGUGGCCUGUGUGCAGGUGGUGCAUGGCUGUCGUCAGCUCGUGUCGUGAGAUGUUGGGUUAAGUCCCGCAACGAGCGCAACCCUUGUCUCAUGUUGCCAGCACGUUAUGGUGGGGACUCGUGAGAGACUGCCGGGGUCAACUCGGAGGAAGGUGGGGAUGACGUCAAGUCAUCAUGCCCCUUAUGUCCAGGGCUUCACACAUGCUACAAUGGCCGGUACAAAGGGCUGCGAUGCCGUGAGGUGGAGCGAAUCCUUUCAAAGCCGGUCUCAGUUCGGAUCGGGGUCUGCAACUCGACCCCGUGAAGUCGGAGUCGCUAGUAAUCGCAGAUCAGCAACGCUGCGGUGAAUACGUUCCCGGGCCUUGUACACACCGCCCGUCACGUCAUGAAAGUCGGUAACACCCGAAGCCGGUGGCCUAA